rnacentral:rRNA from 1 species
GGAAUAUUGGUCAAUGGGCGUGAGCCUGAACCAGCCAAGUAGCGUGCAGGACGACUGCCCUAUGGGUUGUAAACUGCUUUUAUCGGGGAAUAAAGUGAGGGACGUGUCCCUUUUUGUAGGUACCCGAUGAAUAAGGACCGGCUAAUUCCGUGCCAGCAGCCGCGGUAAUACGGAAGGUCCAGGCGUUAUCCGGAUUUAUUGGGUUUAAAGGGAGCGCAGGCUGAUGAUUAAGCGUGACGUGAAAUGUAGCCGCUCAACGGCUGAACUGCGUCGCGAACUGGUUUCCUUGAGUGAGUACGACGUCAGCGGAAUUCGUGGUGUAGCGGUGAAAUGCUUAGAUAUCACGAAGAACCCCGAUUGCGAAGGCAGCUGACGAGUCCUUUACUGACGCUAAAGCUCGAAGGUGCGGGUAUCGAACA